AUUGAACGCUGGCGGCAGGCCUAACACAUGCAAGUCGAGCGAGCGGCGGACGGGUGAGUAAUGUAUGGGGACUGCCCGAUAGAGGGGGGUAAAUACUGGAAACGGUAUCUCAUAACGCAUACUAUCGGAUUUCCCAUAUGGGAUUAGCUCGUAGGUGAGGUAAUGGCUCACCUAGGCGACGAUCGCUAGCUUGUCUGAGAGGAUGAGCAGCCACACUGGGACUGAGACACGGCCCAGACGCCUACGGAGGCAGCAGUGGGGAAUAUUGCACAAGGGGCGAAAGCCUGAUGCAGCCAUGCCGCGUGUAUGAAGAAGGCCUUAGGGUUGUAAAGCACUUUCAGUCGGGAGGCGUUACCGACAGAAGAAGCACCGGCUAACUCCGUGCCAGCAGCCGCGGUAAUUC
rnacentral:rRNA from 1 species